GACGAACGCUGGCGGCGUGCCUAAUACAUGCAAGUCGAACGCAGUGGGGACGGGUGAGUAACACGUGGGUAACCUCCCAUCAGAGGGGAUAACACUUGGAAACAGGUGCUAAACCGAUACUGAUUGAUGGACCCGCGGUGCAUUAGCUAGUUGGUGAGGUAACGGCUCACCAAGGCCACGAGGCAUAGCCGACCUGAGAGGGUGAGCGACCACACUGGGACUGAGACACGAACAAGACGCCUACGGGAGGGAGAAGUAGGGAUUCUUGGGCAAUGGACGAAAGUCUGACCGAGCACAACCACGUGAGUGAAGAAGGUUUUCGGAUCGUAAAACUCUGUUGUUAGAGAAGCGGUAUCUAACCAGAAAGCCAAGGAUAACUACGUGCCAGCAGACGCGGUAAUAA
rnacentral:rRNA from 1 species